GCAGGAGGCUGGAAAGGCUGCCCAGGAAGGCGGGGCCCAUCCCUUCCUCCCAGCCCCGCUCCCACCUCAAGCUCUUUCUUCCUGUAUUUACAGCAGCACUGGGCUUAUUUACAGCACGGCGCUAUGUGUUAAAAACGGUUUAUCUUACAAAAAACAUAAAGGCCGGGGCCAGGCUGGGGGGGAUAAGACAAAUCGUGGGGUCACCCCCAUGAAGGCAUCCCCCUCCCCAAGGGCUUGAGCUCCCUGCAAACCUCCUGGAGCAGGUGAGAAGGUGGAGUCAUUCUGCAGCUCAAGCCCAGGCUUGGGGGUGCUCUGGGGGUCCGUGGACUAAAGGCACAUGGGGUGGCAUAUGAGAGUGCGCAUGUGCACACGUGUUCCCAGGCCCCUAAAACUGCUGCCCCUGACCACCCCUCAUGCUCUGCUGGCACUUCACAAAAGCGCAUUCACAUGUUGGCCAUUAGUAAGCAUCGUCACAAGUCUGAGAAGCAGUAACCCUCAUUAUCCUCAUACUCCAAGUGAGAACCCGAGGCCCAGGAGGCUAA
rnacentral:lncRNA from 10 species